GGCGUGCUUAUAAAACAUGUGAACGCCUGCGAAAGAAGUUUGGUCGGUUAUUAAGAAAAGUGCAGCUCACUUGCCAACAGAUUUGCACACAGUGACAACUGUGGACUGUCUUCUUCCAGAAGACUGCAGCAAAYCAACUGAACAAACUGGGAAUCAACAGGGAUUCAACGAUACAGUAUAAUAUGUCCUCCAAC